rnacentral:lncRNA from 1 species
GAAUCUGAGAACUGUAACCCUUCUGAGGGAAAUCUGACUCACCAGCUAGUUUUAGUUUGAGGAAGGCAAAAGAUUUGGAUUUACAACACAGAGUCACCUAUCCAGUGUAGUAGAGACCUGGGGAGAGAGAGAACUUGCAAGAACUUGCUGGAGACCUAGAUGUCAAU